rnacentral:rRNA from 1 species
UACGUAGGGUGCGAGCGUUAAUCGGAAUUACUGGGCGUAAAGCGUGCGCAGGCGGUUUUGUAAGCCAGGUGUGAAAUCCCCGGGCUCAACCUGGGAAUGGCAUUUGGGACUGCAAGGCUGGAGUGCGGCAGAGGAGACUGGAAUUCCUGGUGUAGCAGUGAAAUGCGUAGAUAUCAGGAGGAACACCAAUGGCGAAGGCAGCUCGCUGGGACGGUACUGACGCUGAGACGCGAAAGCGUGGGGAGCAAACAGG